rnacentral:rRNA from 1 species
CCCUUAGAUGUUCUGGGCCGCACGCGUGCCACACUGAGUAAUUCAAUGGGUAAGGGAACGCUAGAGCAUUACCUAAUCUUGAAAUUUGCUCGUGAUGGGGAUCGACGGUUGCAAUUUUCCGUCGUGAACGAGGAAUACCUUGUAGGCGCAUGUCAUCAUCAUGCGCCGAAUACGUCCCUGCCCUUUGUACACACCGCCCGUCGCUCCUACCGAUUGAGUGAUCCGGUGAGGCUCUGGGACCUGGACGGAAAGAGCGUUUCGCUUGUUCUGUUUGGGAAACUUGGUCGAACCUUAUCAUUUAGAGGAAGGAGAAGUCGUAACA